rnacentral:lncRNA from 1 species
AAACUUCAGAGCUGUAAUAAGAAUAAUGAGGUAAUGUGCAUAAAUCUGUUAGCACAGUGGCACAUAGUAAGCAGUCAACAAAUGUUAGCUAUUAGCCCUAUUACCACAUAGCUUGGGACACAAGUGGCAAUUAAAACCAAGGACAAACAAUGCAGACCAAAGCAAAGAGCCCUUCACUCACUAUGAACCUCCAGAGAGAUCUUAGCAGCGUGUGUGCCUUGGAAAUGAGCUGAAACUGGGCAACACAGAGAGGAAAACACAUUGUCAGCACAUCUAAAAUGUUUCCAUACAUUGUCCAGGGAGUGAAAUCUAAAAAAACUUGAAGAUUGGAGUUCUCUCCAGUUCUUAAAGGGAUACAAAGUUCUAAGUGCAAGUGCCUUCAGACUGUGCAGCCUGCAAAACGGCAGCCCCGAAUCUUCCAGCCAGAGCCACAGGACGUUGCCCAGAAGGUCAUUCUCCCCCUAAAGCUGCCGCUUCACAGCAAACUCCAAACCACUUGGCUUCUCCACUCAAGUGCUGUGUUUUUCUGCUGCAUUUCCAAAAGGCUCUUGGAGAUUUCAUGUUUGUAUUUUCCCCUUUUCUGGCUUCAUGUUCUCCUAUGUAAAUGAAGAAAGCUCUUCCAGUAGGGAAGAACUGCACUGUUGGAGUUGCUGAUUUCAUACAUAUUUGCUCUCAUUUAAAGUAACUUUGCAUAUAGCAGCAUUCUGUACUGCUUAACGGAAAUCCAGAACAAUUUAAGAAAAAGCCCUUUUAAAAAUCAAUUCCAAUUAAGGACAAAGCAAAUUAAAGUGGAGCCAUACAGAUUCAUCUAAGAAAUAAAUAGUGUAGCCAUACUGCUGAAUGUUACUAA